GAUGAACGCUGGCGGUGUGCCUAAUACAUGCAAGUCGAGCGAACAGACGAGGAGCUUACUCCUCUGACGUUAGCGGCGGACGGGUGAGUAACACGUGGAUAACCUACCUAUAAGACUGGGAUAACUUCGGGAAACCGGAGCUAAUACCGGAUAACAUGUUGAACCGCAUGGUUCAACAGUGAAAGACGGUCUUGCUGUCACUUAUAGAUGGUUCCGCGUCGCAUUAGCUAGUUGGUAAGGUAACGGCUUACCAAGGCAACGAUGCGUAGCCGACCUGAGAGGGUGAUCGGCCACACUGGAACUGAGACACGGUCCAGACUCCUACGGGAGGCAGCAGUAGGGAAUCUUCCGCAAUGGGCGAAAGCCUGACGGAGCAACGCCGCGUGAGUGAAGAAGGUCUUCGGAUCGUAAAACUCUGUUAUUAGGGAAGAACAAAUGUGUAAGUAACUAUGCACGUCUUGACGGUACCUAAUCAGAAAGCCACGGCUAACUACGUG
rnacentral:rRNA from 1 species